rnacentral:sRNA from 1 species
GGUGACCAUGGAAUCAGACCAAAGGAAAGUGGUUGGUGAUGGUGGAAGUAUUUCCAAGGGAAAAAUAUGUUCUUUAAAAGCACGAGCUGUCUUGAUUGAUAUGGAAGAAGGGGUAGUGAAUGAAAUUCUGCAGGGACCACUGAGAGAUGUAUUUGAUACGAAACAGCUCAUCACUGAUAUUUCUGGCUCAGGAAAUAAUUGGGCCGUGGGUCACAAAGUUUUCGGCAGUCUUUACCAAGACCAGAUUUUAGAGAAAUUCAGAAAGUCGGCAGAGCACUGUGAUUGCUUGCAGUGUUUCUUUAUAAUACAUUCCAUGGGAGGAGGAACAGGAUCUGGACUUGGCACAUUUCUUUUAAAGGUGCUUGAAGACGAAUUCCCAGAAGUAUACAGAUUUGUGACUUCCAUUUAUCCUUCUGGUGAGGAUGAUGUCAUAACCUCACCUUAUAAUAGCAUCUUGGCAAUGAAGGAACUUAAUGAGCAUGCAGACUGUGUGUUGCCCAUUGACAAUCAAUCUUUAUUUGACAUCAUUAGCAAAAUCGACCUCAUGGUGAAUUCUGGAAAGUUGGGUACAACUGUGAAGCCAAAGAGUCUGGUUACUUCAAGUUCUGGGGCUUUAAAAAAGCGG